rnacentral:sRNA from 1 species
CUUGGUCAUUUAGAGGAAGUAAAAGUCGUAACAAGGUUUCCGUAGGUGAACCUGCGGAAGGAUCAUUAUGAAUUAUAAAUAUUUGUGAAUUUAUUACAGCAAACAACAGUCAUACAAUCAACACUAAAAAUAAUUAAAACUUUUAACAAUGGAUCUCUUGGUUCUCGUAUCGAUGAAGAACGCAGCGAAACGCGAUAUUUCUUGUGAAUUGCAGAAGUGAAUCAUCAGUUUUUGAACGCACAUUGCACUUUGGGGUAUCCCCCAAAGUAUACUUGUUUGAGCGUUGUUUCUCUCUUGGAAUUGCAUUGCUUUUCUAAAAAAUCGAAUCAAAUUCGUUUGAAAAACAACACUAUUCAACCUCAGAUCAAGUAGGAUUACCCGCUGAACUUAAGCAUAUCAAUAAGCGGAGGAAAAGAAACCAACAGGGAUUGCCUUAGUAACGGCGGGUGAAGCGGCAAAAGCUCAAAUUUGAAAUCGGCCUCCAGGUCGAGUUGUAAUUUGUAGAUUGUAUCUUGAGAGCGGAUUAAAGUCUGUUGGAACACAGCGCCUUAGAGGGUGACAGCCCCGUAAAAUCUAUUCUCAUUGUAAGAUACUUUCGAAGAGUCGAGUUGUUUGGGAAU